AUUGUUGCCUCGGCGGAUCAGCCCGCUCCCGGUAAAACGGGACGGCCCGCCAGAGGACCCCUAAACUCUGUUUCUAUAUGUAACUUCUGAGUAAAACCAUAAAUAAAUCAAAACUUUCAACAACGGAUCUCUUGGUUCUGGCAUCGAUGAAGAACGCAGCAAAAUGCGAUAAGUAAUGUGAAUUGCAGAAUUCAGUGAAUCAUCGAAUCUUUGAACGCACAUUGCGCCCGCCAGUAUUCUGGCGGGCAUGCCUGUUCGAGCGUCAUUUCAACCCUCAAGCCCAGCUUGGUGUUGGGACUCGCGAGUUAAAUCGCGUUCCCCAAAUUGAUUGGCGGUCACGUCGAGCUUCCAUAGCGUAGUAGUAAAACCCUCGUUACUGGUAAUCGUCGCGGCCACGCCGUUAAACCCCAACUUCUGAAUGUUGACCUCGGAUCAGGUAGGAAUACCCGCUGAACUUAAGCAUAUCAU
rnacentral:rRNA from 1 species